UCACGCAAUUCAAAGCCUGAGGACUUUCCACUACUUUUCAAGUGACAGAUCAGGCUGCAGAGCCAGAGCACAGAAGACAUGCCUCAGAGGAGACAAGGCUAAAGCUGCCCUGACACUGUGGCACCCCUCCUGCUCUGCAGUCCAGCGUAACCAACCCAGGUGUCCAGGCUGGCCAAAAUGCCAGUGAGAGAGGAGCAUCACAGGGAUGCACAGGAACCAGAUGGAUUUCCUUGUCAUCCUGACUGGUCAUCUCAGCAAGAAGGUCAAGAUUUGAAAGAACCCAGAAGAAUUAAACAGCAGGACAGAUGAGUAUCACUGGGGGAGGUUUGUAAUUUCCCUUCAAAGUAUAAUUAUGGGCUGAAAAGAAGAAAGGAAAUAUUGCUUGGUCCUGUUACUGCUGCAAAAGGAGACAGAUAAGAAGAAAUAUUAGGAAAUUUACAUUGCCAAGACAAACACUUUAAGAAACCCUAUUAUGCAGGGCCAAAGACUUA